rnacentral:tRNA from 1 species
CCUCCUUUCUAGAGAAAGAGAAGUAGAUUCAAGUCUUGAAUUUGUUUGGUUUUAGUGCUCACACUUAUCGGUUUGUUUAGACGCGAAGAUACAAGCAGCAAGAAGAGAGGGCCUUUAAGUGCGGAACGAAAGAACUGUCUAGAGGUCAGGGCCCUGGGGCUGAAAAGUUUACGGGGUCUGUAGCUCAGUUGGUUAGAGCACCGUCUUGAUAAGGCGGGGGUCGAUGGUUCGAGCCCAUCCAGACCCACCAUUGGUUUGAAGUUGUUGUAAAAACACCUGGGGGUGUGGCUCAGCUGGGAGAGCACCUGCUUUGCAAGCAGGGGGUCAUCGGUUCGAUCCCGUUCACCUCCACCANGUUUUAGUGCUGCAAGAAACGUGAAGUUUGUAUCGAGUGUUUGAAUAAAUGGUCUUUGAAUAAAAGAUUGGCUGUUAGCGGUUAGGCAAGGGAUGCAAGGGNUUUGCNUCGGUUUGCGGUCAAAAUGAAUAAGCCCGGUGGUGCGGAACACUGGGGGGGUUUUUUCAUUUUGGCUU